UACAGUCAUAUCACAAUGAAACACUUGUUCCCAUACAAUCACCAAAGUUAAGCAAUGUUGAGCUUGGUUAGCAUCUAGAUGGGUGACUGCUUGGGAAUACCAGGUACUGUAAG